GCGGCCGUAGCUCAAUGGUAGAGCGCUAGUCUUCCAAACUCGAUACGCGGGUUCGAUUCCCGUCGGCCGCUCC
rnacentral:tRNA from 1 species